rnacentral:lncRNA from 1 species
CUGGGAUUACAGGCGUGAGCCACCGCGCCCGGCCAAAGAUGUUAUUUUCUAUAAAGGCAACCGUUAGAACCUUCAACUCAUUAUUUUUAGGCUGACAAAAACAUCUGUUAUUAUUAUACCACACUAUGUAUUGUGAAUAGUUUAUUUUACAAGCAUAAUAGAGUAUUUUGAAAUUACACUCUGCUAGAACCCCUUGCUAGUUGUUAAUUUUACCUAGAAAAGACUCACAGAUUCUUUGUUAAAAUAAGAAAUCUAGCAAAGUCAGACUUUUCUCCCUACCACCCCACCCAACCCCAUUAUACACAAAAGAAAAGAGGAACAGUCCAGAUGUGGUGGCUGACACCUGUAAUCCCAGUACUUUGUGAGGUGGAGAGUUGGGCAGAUCACCUGAGGCCUGGAGUCUGAGAUCACCCUGGCCAAUAUGGUGAAUUCUCAUCUUUACUAAAAACACAAAAAUUAGCCGGGCAUGGUGGCCCGUGCCUGUAAUCCCAGCUACUUGGGAAGGUGAGGCACAAGAAUCGCUUGAACUCAGGAAGUGGAGGUUGCAGCGAACAACCACUGCACUCCAUCCUGGGUGACAGAGCAAGAUCUGUCUCAAAAAAAAAAUAAAUAAAUAAAAUAAAAUAAAAUAUAAAAAAAAGAGAUGAGAAACAAAUGAUCAGAUUUGCAGAGUAAUCUUUCAAGAAUUUAUCCUAUUUACACAUGCAGAAAUGUCAAUUACAACAUUACUAUCAGGGCAACAAAUUAUCAAGUAAAGCUACCAAUCAGAAUUAUAAUCUAUGAGAAAGGAGUUCACUCAGCUUAUUUCCAGGAGUACCUGGAGUCACGGUACCAACCCUUAGCCAACCACUUGGGGCUAAGUCCUUGGAGUUAACAUAGUCACCAAUGAAGUUGUUUUGUGCUCCUGAGGCACUGAGGCAUGACAUGCUCAAUUGCCAGCACUGCCUAACACAAAUAUCAAGAUGUGCCAUGAGCACCUGCCUCCUGGGUAAAGAUCUGCACCAUAGAUUGUCACGUGGGAGGAAUGUGCCUUGUGCAACCAGACUCCUGUAAGAACUCCGGGACCUCAGACCUAAGUGGACUUACGUGGGCAGAGACAUCUCAUAUAUGUUCGUAUAAUUUGUAGUCGUGCCAAAAGCACCUUACUGUGACCAGCAUGGAGGGAGAACCUAGAAGUCUGCACCUAAUCUUUCGGGUCUUCUUGUAGGCAUAACUUUUUUCUGCUGAUCCUGUAUAAUAUCCUUUGCUGUAAUAGGCUUUUAGCCAUGAGAAUAACCUGUUACUCAGCCAAAUGCGUCCUGACAAAUCUCAAAAGUAGUAUAUUCUCAGGACCCAUAAAGCACAAGCAUUUUUCCAAAGGUAAUUUUCAAGGCCAGGGCAAGUAAGUUUCUAAGUCUUAGUUUUAUAAAACUCUUUUUUCAAAGAAAAUGACUUACAAUAAGAAACCGAAGAUUCACACCACUCUCCAUAUUGCACAAAAGAGAAAAAAGAUUGAUAUUUUUGUCAAUAUCGACCAUUUGACACUUUACAAAAUCAGAUAUUUUGAAUAUGUGUUAUAUCUCAGAAAGACAUCCUCCUCUCUGUGCUAUAGGGGAGAGGAGCAUAUCCUUUAUUUAUUUCCAAGACUUCUGUUAAUUACAAAGGCUCACAUUGAUAAGCCAAGCUCUGGAUUUUCAUUAGUUAGCAUUAUAAGCAAAAAGCAGGCCUGUGAGAUCAAUUUUACUGGCAUAAAUGCAGUAAAGAAUGAAUAAGAUAUAAUAAUAACUGAAAUACAGAGCCUAUAGCAUUAUUUUUCCACAAUAUGUAAUCACAUAUUUAUAAAUCUGAAAAUAAAAGAAAUAUCAUUAGAAUGUCACUCUGUACAAAUUUAUGGCAAUAUGCACAAAAUACACUAAAAGCUGCCUUAUUUUUAUGCAGUUGCAUGCUCACAUAUAUAUUUCUGUAACAGACAAUUUUACUUUGAUGUGACAGGAGAUAAUCGAUCUUGAAGUUAAAGAUAAUAAAUUUGGGUGUGACUAAGGUGUAUAAAUUUCAGUUGAUCUAUAUAGAUUUAUAGCAAGAUGGUUAAAAUGUGAGGUUGCUCAUCAGAGGCAUAGGGUUAUCUUAAUUAUCUCUGAUAUGUAAAUCAUUUACUUUUCACAAAAGGCCCUCUUUCUUGUGUAAACACAAACAACCAUAAAUUAAAAUAAGUAGCAGAUGACUAGUAUGCUAUUUUAUUUUGCUUUAUGAACAAAAGUAAACCUGCUUUGAAGACACAAAUAAUCUUUCUUGUAAGUAGGUACGUAUCCGGCACCUUAUUACAUAGAAGAGAGCACCAGCACCAGACCCUGCCAAAAUGAAACAAAACAAGAACUGGCAAAAUGAUUGUUUCUAAUAUAAGCCAGGAAAUUUUUUUUUUAUUGAAAGUCUAUUUGCAGCCAGGUGUGGUGGCUCACACCUGUAAUCCCAGCACUUUGGGAGGUUGAGGCAAAAGGAUCCCUUGAGCCCAGGAGUUUAAGACAAGCCUGGGUUACAUAGUGAGACCCCAUCUCUACAAAAAAUAAAAAAUUAGCUGGGCAUAGUCUCAGCUACUCAGGAGACUGAGGUGGGAGGAUUGCUUGAGCCCUGAAGGUGGAGGCAGCAGUGAGCUGUGAUUGUACCACUGCGCUCGAGGCUUGAGGACAGAGCAAAACACUGACUCAAAAAAAAAAAAAAAAAAAAAAGAAAGAAAGUCUACAUCCAAUAGCCAGAAGUAUGUCUCUAAGGUCCUUGACCUUCCAAGUAUAAUGCAAAACACAGAAGAGAUUGUUUUAGAAUGAUAAAUUUGACUACUAAGCAAAAAAUUAUGCAUGGCAUAAGUCACAAUUAACAAAGCCAAAAGAAAAAUGACAAAUAUUUAAUAAGAAUAUCUGGAAGCACUCAAGAUCCAUUAAGGCAAUUGGAGUGUAAUAUCAGGCAGAAAGAACUAGAAUGUAACUGAACUCAAUAUAUUGAUUGGGUUCUAAUCCUAAAAUACUGAUUUUUAUACUGUCCAAAGAAAGUUUGCAAUCAAAACAAAGGUCAGAAGAGAUAAGUAAAGGACAGCCAGAGAGCAAGAUUUUGCACUGAUUAGCUCUCACUAUUCAGAGUCCAGAGAAAUUUACUAUAGUGGACACAAAUACUCUAGUUGUUCCAUAGUUAUAUACUAUUGUGGGAUAAGAAUGGUUUAUUUCAGUUUGGAUAAAGUAUCUCUUAAAACUAUAUAACUCCUGUUAUUCCAGUUUCACUCUCCUUUAAGUAAACUGAUUCUGUCAAUACUUACCAGUUACUGGACAGGCACAGCAGCUCACACUUGUAAUCCCAACACUUUGGGAGGUUGAGGUGGGUGGAUCACUUGAGGUCAGGAGUUCGAGACCAGCCUGGCCAACAUAGUGAAAACCCGCCUCUACUAAAAAUACAAAAAUUAGCUGGGUGUGGUGGCGGGCACCUGUAAUCCCAGCUAUUCGGGAGGCUGAGGCAGGAGAAUGGCUUGAGCCCAAGAGGUGAAGGUUGCAGUGAACCACCAAGAUCACGCCACUGCACUCCAGCCUGGGUGAUGGAGUGAGACUCUGUCUCAAAAAAAAAAAAAAAAAAAAAAAAAAAAAAAAAAAAAAAAAAAAAAGAUACUUACCAGUUACCAAAAAGAGAACAUGAAAAAUAUAUGUAAUUUUCACUAUAAAUUUUUCUGGUAGAUAUCCUGGCUUACAUAGUUUCUUAUGAGUUUGGUUAUCAUGAAUUCUUUGGUUAUCCUGGUAUUCAUGGAAUCUCAUCAAUUCUGGAUUCAUUCACAAUUUUGAAUUUUCACGCCUGAGAACUGGGGACCAGACUAUAAGUUGAUAACUCUUAACAUUUUCACCUCUGAGCCCUUGCCCAAGUAGCCAAAUGAUCUCAAGAUAUGUCUGUUUCAGUUAGCCUUUGUUGUAUAACAAAUCACCUCUAGCCGGGUGCAGUGGCUCAUGCCUGUAAUCCCAACACUUUGGGAGGCCGUGGCAGGUGGAUCACAGGGUCAGGAGUUCAAGACCAGCCUGGCCAACAUGGUGAAACCCUGUCUCUACUAAAAAUAUAAAAAAAAAUUAGCUGGGCCUGGUGGCGGAUGCCUGUAAUCUCAGCUACCCAGGAGGCUGAGGCAGAGAAUUGCUUGAACCCAGGAGAUGGAGGUUGCAGUGAGACGAGAUCGCGCCACUGCACUCCAGCCUGGGCGACAGAGUGACACCAUCUCAAAAACAAAACAAAACAAAACAAAAAAACAAAAAAAACAAAUCACCUCUAAAAUUAGUAGCCUAUAAUGGCAUCUGUUUAUUGUUCAUAUUUCUGUGGGUUGAAAUUUGGACUGGAAUCAGCUGAGUGGUGCUUCUGCUGAUCUCCCCUGGAACCACUUGACUUGUCAUCUCUCUAAGAUGGUCUUUUGUUUACAUACGUAGCACUUGGUGCUAUCAACUUGUAUACUUCAGGCCGUGGCCUCAUCUUUAAUACGCUAUACUGAGCUUCUUUAUACAAUAGUCUCAGGGCAGAAUUCUAAGAGCAAGAGCAGAAGCCAGAAGACCUUUUCAAAAUGAAAUUCAGAAGUCAUCACUUCUCCAUUUUAUUGGUCAAAGUCACAAGACCAGCCCAAGAUUCAAGAGGUGGGUAAAUAGACUUCACCUCUUUUCAGGAGGGGAUACAAAUAAUCUGUAGCUUUAUUUAUUUACUUAUGCGACAGAGUCUUACUCUGUUGCCCAGGCUGGAGUGCAGUGGCGUGAUCUCAGCUCACUGCAACCUCCACCUCCUGGGUUCAAGCGAUUCUCCCACCUCAGCCUCCCAAGCUGGGAUUAGCCCGCCACCAUGCCUAGCUAACUUUUGUAUUUUUAGUAGAGACGGGGUUUCACCAUGUUGACCAGGCUGGUCUCAAACUCCUGUCCUUAGGUGACCUGCCCACCUCGGCCACCCAAAGUGUUGGGAUUACAGACGUGAGCCACCUUGCCCAGCUCCCUGUAGCUAUAUUUAAUUACCCACAACUUGUAACACCGAUUCACAAUAGUCCCAAUAAUGUUCUUUAUAGAAAAAGAAGAUUCUCUGGUCUGGGAUCCAAUCUAGGUUCACACAGUACAUUUAGUUGUCAUGUCUCUUUGGUCUCAAUCUGUAACAAUUCCUUAGUUUUUCUUUGUCUUUCAUGAUGUUGACAGUUUAAAAUUUUGUCUUUUGGAUUAUGUGAUGUUUUGAAUUUUGUAACAUGUCCCUCAAUUUGGCUUUGUUGGAUAUUUCCUUGUGAUUAGAUUCAGAUUUUGCAUUUUUGGCAAAAAACUAUAUAAGAGCUAUUAUGACCAUCUCAUUGCAGUACAGCAGGAGAAAAUGAUGUCAGCUUGCCCCAUUAUUGGUGGUAUUAACUUUGAUUAACUGUUUUCACUGUCACAUUACUAUUUUUCUUUUGUAAUUAAUUAGUGGUAAUUAAUUGUGUUAUGAUAAGAUGCUCCUUAUCAAACUUUCACUGACUAGUUGUAGUAUCAAUUAAUUACAUUUAAAAAUUUAAAGAAGGGCCGGGUGUGGUGGCUCACGCCUGCACUCCAUCCUGGGCGACAAGAGCAAGACUCUGUCUCAAAAAAAAAAAAAAAAUUUAAAGAAGAAACAUUGUUUUAAACUUAGAUUCAAACAUCAGUUUGCUACUUAUCAGCUGUGUGACCUUAGGGCAACUCACCAGAUGGCUCUGAGCCUCAGUUUCCUCAUGUGUAGAUUGUAGAUAAUAAUAUUUUUCUCAUAAAAUUGAUGUGGGUAAUACAUAUAAAGUACUUAGCAGAGCGAUUACCAUUUAUUUUAUUUCACUAGUUUUUACGGAAAUUCUUUAAAUUUUAGUAGUGUGUAGGAAGAGAUCAUCUUUGUCCUAAUAGAGAUUAUACUCUAGUCUAGAGUAGAGGUGAGCAAACUUUUUCUGUAAAGAGCAGAUGGUGGCUGGGCACCGUGGCUCACGCCUGUAAUCCCAGCACUUUGGGAGGCUGAGGCCGGCAGAUCACCUGAGGUCAGCAGUUCAAGACCAACCUGGCCAACAUAGCAAAGCCCCAUGUCUACUAAAAAUACAAACAUUAGCUGGGCGUGGUGGUGCAUAUCUGUAAUCUCAGCUAUUCAGGAGGCUGAGGCAUGAGAAUCACUUGAACCCAGGAGGCGGAGGUUGCAGUGAGCUGAGACUGCACCACUGCACUCCAGCCUGGGCAAAAAGAGCGAAAUUCCAUCUCAAAAAAAAAAAAAAAAGCAGACGGUAAAUAUUUUAGGAGCCAAAUGGGCAAUACAUAAAUGAAUGCAUUUUACUGUAUUCCAAAAACUUUAUUUAUAAAACAAGUGGUAGGCUGGACUUGGCCCAUGGGCUGGAGUUUGCUGAUCUCUGGUCUAGAGCAAACAGACCAACAAGAAAAUAUAAUUACAAACAAACAAAAAACCCAGCCAAACAAAAAUAAAUAAAAAUAAUUACAAAUCAUAAGUGUUCUGAAGGGAAAAGAUAGGUUUUAGGGGAUUAUAUAACAGUGACCUCACCUUGUCUAGAAUGUCAGGAGUAGCAACGCUAAAGCAGUAGCAUUUACACUGAGACCUAGAAAGCAGGUAGUCAUUAACUAAAUAUGUGGUGGCAGGGAGCUUAUCAGGCAGAGCAAAUAGCAUAUUCUAAGGAAAUGAGGGAGAAAGUUACAUAACUUUUUCUUUCUUUUUUUUUUUUGAGACAGGGUCUCAUUCUGUUGUCCAGGCUGGAGGGCAGUGGUGCAAUCAUGGUCAGCUGGAGCCUUAAACUCCUGGGCUCAAGCAAUCCUCCUACCUCAACCUCCUGAGUAGCUGGGACCACAGGCGUUCUCCAUCAUGUCCAGCUAUUUUUGUAUUUUUUUGUAGAGAUGGAGCUCUCACUAUGUUGCCCAGGCUUGUCUUGAACUCCUGGACUCAAGUGAGCCUCCUGCUUCACCCUCCCAAAAUGCUGGGAUUACAGACAUAAGCCACAGCACCAGCUGAACUUUUUUUUCUGAGACGGAGUCUUGCUCUGUUGCCAGGUUGGAGUGCAGUGGCAAGAUCUCGGCUCACUGCAACCUCUGUCUCCUGGGUUCAAGCGAUCUCC